rnacentral:piRNA from 1 species
UGUCUUGAUGAUCUGCUGAGAACUGUU